GUCCCCAUAGUUCAACGGAUUUAGAACGGAGGCUUGCGGAGCCUCAGAUGGAGGUUCGACUCCUCCUGGGGACA
rnacentral:tRNA from 1 species